rnacentral:misc_RNA from 1 species
GAUGAAGAACGCAGCGAAAUGCGAUAAGUAAUGUGAAUUGCAGAAUUCAGUGAAUCAUCGAAUCUUUGAACGCACAUUGCGCCCGCCAGUAUUCUGGCGGGCAUGCCUGUUCGAGCGUCAUUACAACCCUCAGGCCCCCGGGCCUGGCGUUGGGGAUCGGCGGAAGCCCCCUGUGGGCACACGCCGUCCCUCAAAUACAGUGGCGGUCCCGCCGCAGCUUCCAUUGCGUAGUAGCUAACACCUCGCAACUGGAGAGCGGCGCGGCCAUGCCGUAAAACACCCAACUUCUGAAUGUUGACCUCGAAUCAGGUAGGAAUACCCGCUGAACUUAAGCAUAUCAUAAGGGAGGA